rnacentral:sRNA from 1 species
AAACCCCUUUGAUUUGUUAAAACACCUUGCGGUCUGGCAACUGCAAGUGUCAAACAAGAAAUCAAAAG